AACAAACGCUGGCGGCGUGCCUAAUACAUGCAAGUCGAACGGGGAAAGCUUUCGGGUGAGUACUAGUGGCGCACGGGUGAGUAACGCGUGGAUAAUCUGCCUUGAAGAGGGGGAUAACCAGUCGAAAGAUUGGCUAAUACCGCAUAAGACCACAGGAACUGAGGUUCUAGAGGUCAAAGGUUUUUCGCUUCAAGAUGAGUCCGCGUAAGAUUAGCUAGUUGGUGAGGUAACGUCUCACCAAGGCGACGAUCUUUAACUUGUCUGAGAGGAUGAUCAGACACAAUGGAACUGGGACACGGUCCAGACUCCUACGGGAGGCAGCAGUAGGGAAUAUUGCACAAUGGAGGAAACUCUGAUGCAGCGACGCCGCGUGAGUGAUGAAGGCCUUCGGGUCGUAAAGCUCUGUCGCAGGGGAAUAACACAAUGAAGGUACCCUGUAAGAAAGGAUCGGCUAACUUCGUGCCAGCAGCCGCGGUAACAC
rnacentral:rRNA from 1 species